GUAAUGGAUUCAAAGAUUGUGCAAGU
rnacentral:piRNA from 1 species